rnacentral:misc_RNA from 1 species
UUUCCGUAGGUGAACCUGCGGAAGGAUCAUUGCACACACGAUGCAGCAAACUAGCGAACUGUGUUUGUCCCCCACCUACCCCAAACACGAGGGGCCGCAUCUGGAGGUGCGGCUGUCGACGGCAAGGUCCCGACCUUCGGGUCCCCGCAGUGGUUCCCGCAAGCGGGCUGAUCAUGUCGCCGUCUGGGUGUCCCGCGCGGGCUCUCGCCUUGCCUUAGGGUUGGGCGACGCGGGCAUUCUCCUCCCUUCGAUGGCGUCGUCCCCUCCUCCGGGAGAGCGACACGCCUGAAGGGCCGUUUACAACUUUGCACCAUGUACAACACCAGUGAGUGAGUAUACCUGGGUCCCGGUUCCGCUGCUGCCCUCGGGUGGUGCGGGAUGGGUCCAUAGGAACAAGAGUAAAUAAUAAAAACUCUCAGCAACGGAUAUCUUGGCUCUU